rnacentral:rRNA from 1 species
GACGAACGCUGGCGGCGUGCUUAACACAUGCAAGUCGAGCGGUAAGGCCCUUUCGGGGGUACACGAGCGGCGAACGGGUGAGUAACACGUGGGUGACCCGCCCUCAGCUCUGGGAUAAGCCCGGGAAACUGGGUCUAAUACCGGAUAUGACUCCAUGACGCAUGUUGUGGGGUGGAAAGCCUUGUGCGGCUGAGGAUGGGCCCGCGGCCUAUCAGCUUGUUGGUGGGGUGAUGGCCUACCAAGGCGACGACGGGUAGCCGGCCUGAGAGGGCGACCGGCCACACUGGGACUGAGAUACGGCCCAGACUCCUACGGGAGGCAGCAGUGGGGAAUCUUGCGCAAUGGGCGAAAGCCUGACGCAGCGACGCCGCGUGAGGGAUGACGGCC